GGAGAGAUGGCAGAGUGGUCGAUUGCGAUAGUCUUGAAAACUAUUCGGGGGUUCGAAUCCCUCUCUCUCCG
rnacentral:tRNA from 1 species